AGGGAAUCUUCCGCAGUGGACGAAAGUCUGACGGAGCAACGCCGCGUGAGUGAAGAAGGUCUUCGGAUCGUAAAACUCUGUUGUUAGGGAAGAACAAGUAUCGUUCGAAUAGGGCGGUACCUUGACGGUACCUAACCAGAAAGCCACGGCUAACUACGUGCCAGCAGCCGCGGUAAUACGUAGGUGGCAAGCGUUGUCCGGAAUUAUUGGGCGUAAAGCGCGCGCAGGCGGUUUCUUAAGUCUGAUGUGAAAGCCCCCGGCUCAACCGGGGAGGGUCAUUGGAAACUGGGGAUCUUGAGUGCAGAAGAGGAGAGUGGAAUUCCACGUGUAGCGGUGAAAUGCGUAGAGAUGUGGAGGAACACCAGUGGCGAAGGCGACUCUCUGGUCUGUAACUGACGCUGAGGCGCGAAAGCGUGGGGAGCGAAC
rnacentral:rRNA from 1 species